rnacentral:snRNA from 1 species
UCACUCUGGUUUCUCUUCAGAUCGUAUAAAUCUUUCGCCUUUUACUAAAGAUUUCCGUGGAGAGGAACACAGAUGAGUUUCUAACCAAUUUUUUGUUGCCCCACUCUGUGGGGCU